UACGUAGGGUGCAAGCGUUAAUCGGAAUUACUGGGCGUAAAGCGUGCGCAGGCGGUUAUAUAAGACAGAUGUGAAAUCCCCGGGCUCAACCUGGGAACUGCAUUUGUGACUGUAUAGCUAGAGUACGGUAGAGGGGGAUGGAAUUCCGCGUGUAGCUGUGAAAUGCGUAGAUAUGCGGAGGAACACCGAUGGCGAAGGCAAUCCCCUGGACCUGUACUGACGCUCAUGCACGAAAGCGUGGGGAGCAAACAGG
rnacentral:rRNA from 1 species